GAUGAACGCUGGCGGCGUGCCUAAUACAUGCAAGUCGAGCGAACGGACGAGAAGCUUGCUUCUCUGAUGUUAGCGGCGGACGGGUGAGUAACACGUGGAUAACCUACCUAUAAGACUGGGAUAACUUCGGGAAACCGGACCUAAUACCGGAUAAUAUUUUGAACCGCAUGGUUCAAAAGUGAAAGACGGUCUUGCUGUCACUUAUAGAUGGAUCCGCGCUGCAUUAGCUAGUUGGUAAGGUAACGGCUUACCAAGGCAACGAUUCCUAGCCGCCCUGAGAGGGUCAUCGGCCACACUAGAACUGUGACCCGGUCCUCCCGCCUACGCGGGGCAGCCGGAGGAAUUCUUCCGCUAUAGUCGAAGUCCUGACGGAGCAAAGCCGCGUGAGUGCUGGAGGUCUUCGGAUCGUAAAACUAUGUUAUUAGGGAAGAACAUAUGUGUAGGUAACUGUGCACAUCUUGACGUUACCUAAUCAGAGAGCCACGGCUAGCUACGUG
rnacentral:rRNA from 1 species